GGCUCGUUGGUCUAGGGGUAUGAUUCCUGCUUUGGGUGCAGGAGGUUCCGGGUUCAAAUCCCGGAUGAGCCC
rnacentral:tRNA from 1 species